GCGGGUAUCGUAUAACGGCAUUACGGCUGGUUGCCAAUCAGUCGACAGGGGUUCGACUCCCCUUACCCGCUCCA
rnacentral:tRNA from 1 species